rnacentral:rRNA from 1 species
UACGAAGGGGGCUAGCGUUGUUCGGAAUUACUGGGCGUAAAGCGCGCGCAGGCGGCUAUCCAAGUCAGUGGUGAAAGCCCGGAGCUCAACUCCGGAACUGCCAUUGAAACUGUUUAGCUGGAGUAUGAGAGAGGUGAGUGGAAUUCCCAGUGUAGAGGUGAAAUUCGUAGAUAUUGGGAAGAACACCGGUGGCGAAGGCGGCCACUGCUCGUAUCUGACGCUCAGGCGCGACAGCGUGGGAUC